rnacentral:rRNA from 1 species
UUAAUUGAAGAGUUUGAUCAUGGCUCAGAUUGAACGCUGGCGGCAGGCCUAACACAUGCAAGUCGGGCGGUAACAGGGAGAAGCUUGCUUCUCUGCUGACGAGCGGCGGACGGGUGAGUAAUGUAUGGGGAUCUGCCUGAUGGAGGGGGGUAACUACUGGAAACGGUAGCUAAUACCGCAUAAUGUCUUCGGACCAAAGCGGGGGACCUUCGGGCCUCGCGCCAUCAGAUGAACCCAUAUGGGAUUAGCUUGUAGGUGAGGUAA